GCUUCCACGUUCGGUUUAUGUUGCUGCAAUAUUUGUAAAAACCUCUAAUACCUGUUCAUUUACAAUUGGUAACCGGCAGGUGCAAGAAGUUUAUUCCUGCGAAAAUGCGUGUAAGUGUGGCAGAUUUUAACGAAGAUUACUUGAUAAGAUUACCGCCUGUUGACAGUUUAACGUGGGUCUGCUCUAAUCCCAUGUCGGAAUUCGGAUUGGUAUCUAAUGGAAUGCGAUGGCCAGACCUUAGUAAGCGUGUCUCACACUGAUGUCCAACGAUUAAAGAAUCAUGUUCAGAUGCAUGUGCACAUUUUCGCUAUUAAGACUAUUCGUACUUAGCGAAGCACGAUGUACAGAAUGGCUACCUACUCACGAUAUCCCGAAAUGUUCUAUGUUCCAGCCAUGUACGAAUCAGGUCACCACACGACAGAAAGACCGUGACUGUAGACUCACUUAAAGCAUGUAAAAUUAUGAGGAAUCUAGAUAAAGUGGAUAGUAAGAACUUUAGGCCAAUGAUUGAGGCAUAGAUUGAAAGUGAAUGAUAAUAAGCGUUGGAGGAAAGUUGAGAGUAUUUUUUCUCUUUCAGAAGGUGUGGUCUGGAACUCGUCACCUGAAAGUAAAAUAGAAACUUUCCACACAUUUAAAACACGCCAUGCAUUUGAAGUGCUGUAACCAAAGGACUAUUCCUAGAGAACCGAAAGUUGAACUUAGGUUGGAAAUGUCUUUCUGUCCGCCAGCUAGACACGAUGAACUGAUAAGCCACCUGCUUAGGGAUAUCCCGAAAUGUUCUAUGUUCGAGUGAUUAGAGACCAACAAUAGAAACAUUGAAAACAAAAGCAUUAAGUGUCCUGAAAGACCACUGACUCUCGAGGUAUUUCAGUCUUCUUUAACGGCCUUAUUCUAACAUACAAGAAUUCGAAAGGAUUAAAAAAAUAGAAUCUUUCGAAAAUAGGAGACAUGACUGAGUGGAGAGCUGACAGUGCUCUUUACAAUCAUCAAGCGCUAUGACCCAAACAGAAUGUUUGCUUCUGUGGAUAAGAACUUCACUGGAGGCCAUCGCACAAAGUUGUUAGCAAGAAAUCCAAUGGAGAAUUCAGGCCAAACGUCUUUGACCGAGCUGAGAGUAAGGAGCUCCCCACAGUUGGGUAUGAUUGACAGAAGAAGAUUGAUACAUUCCAGGGGAAGCAUGGAACAAAGGUUAGCACUGCUGCCUCACAGCGCCUGGGACGUGGGCCCAAGUUCAGCCUCUUGUGUGACGAGAUGGAGUUUGUACCCGUGUCUGUGUGAGUUUCUUUCCCAGAAUCCAAAGGUGUGAAGGUUAGGUGGAUUGGCCAUGCUAACAUGCCCUAUGGUGUCCAGGGAUGUGCGAGCUGGGUGGAUUAGCCAAGAAAAAUGCGGAGUUCAGUGACAGGAUAAGUUGGGAUGCUCUUCGGAGGGUUGGUGCAAAUUUGAUUGGUUGAAUGGCCUUUUCCUACUCCGUAGGGAUUCUCUGAAACUAGCUGAGCACACGGGAGCCAGGGAAAUAGAGGUUAUGAUAAUAGACAGUGGGGCGUGGAUUGGUUGGGUGAAUGGCCUGUUCCUGUGCUAUAAAUCCUAAGAACAAGUGGUACGAAAUGGUGCUUGGAAAAGUUGACACUUUUCGGUAUAAACUGACCCCAAAUUAUUUUGUUUCAAUUAAUUGACACAUUUAUUGUCCCUUCACUAGUUUGGCUCUAACCUAUGGAUUAGGUAUGGUUCUCCUAGCUGGCUAGCUACGUCUUCGAGAUGAUAACUUAUUAUGUUCUGUUCCACAGUCGCGUCUCGGUGACGUCAAGGUUCCUGUGAAUAGUUUGGGAUCGGGAUCCUGGAUAAAGCACUUUGUAAUAUAUAGAAAUGGUAACUCAGAUCAGCGUUUUACGAAGAAAAAGGCGAACCAUUUGUAUCUAAAUUCAUAUUAUUUCAUAAUCCUGUUUGGUGAAAUAUUUUGGGUUCGUACAUUUCAGAGAGCCCUAUCUAUGUCAAAAUAAACUUUGGUUUCUAUGUUGAAA